GACGAACGCUGGCGGCGUGCUUAACACACGCAAGUCGAACGGAAAGGCCCUGCUUUUGUGGGGUGCUCGAGUGGCGAACGGGUGAGUAACACGUGAGUAACCUGCCCUUGACUUUGGGAUAACUUCAGGAAACUGGGGCUAAUACCGGAUAGGAGCUCCUGCUGCAUGGUGGGGGUUGGAAAGUUUCGGCGGUUGGGGAUGGACUCGCGGCUUAUCAGCUUGUUGGUGGGGUAGUGGCUUACCAAGGCUUUGACGGGUAGCCGGCCUGAGAGGGUGACCGGCCCCAUUGGGACUGAGAUCCGGCCCAGACCCCUACGGGGGGCAGCAGUGGGGAAUAUUGCACAAUGGGCGGAAGCCUGAUGCAGCAACGCCGCGUGCGGGAUGACGGCCUUCGGGUUGUAAACCGCUUUCGCCUGUGACGAAGCGUGAGUGACGGUAAUGGGUAAAGAAGCACCGGCUAACUACGUG
rnacentral:rRNA from 1 species